rnacentral:misc_RNA from 1 species
AACGGUCUAUACCUGCGGUACCUGCGGAGGGAUCAUUAUAGAGUUUUUAACUCCCAAACCCAUGUGAACUUACCUUUGUUGCCUCGGCGGAGCCUACCCGGUACCUACCCUGUAGCGCCCCGCCGGUGGACUUCUAAACUAUUGUUAUUUUAAUGAUAUCUGAGAGUCUUAUUUUAAUAAGUCAAAACUUUUAACAACGGAUCUCU